GCUAAACGCGAAGAACCUUACCAAGGCUUAAAUGGGAAACGACGGAUCUGGAAACAGGUCUUCCUUCGGGCGUUUUUCAAGGUGCUGCAUGGUUGUCGUCAGCUCGUGCCGUGAGGUGUCAGGUUAAGUCCUAUAACGAGCGCAACCCCUGUUGUUAGUUGCCAGCGAGUCAAGUCGGGAACGUCUAGCAAGACUGCCGGUGCAAACCGUGAGGAAGGUGGGGAUGACGUCAAAUCAUCACGGCCCUUACGCCUUGGGCUACACACGUGCUACAAUGGACGGUACAGAGAGCAGCCAGUGGGUGACCACGAGCGAAUCUACAAAACCGUUCUCAGUUCGGAUCGGAGUCCGCAACUCGACUCCGUGAAGCUGGAAUCGCUAGUAAUCGGAUAUCAGCCAUGAUCCGGUGAAUACGUUCCCGGGUCUUGUACACACCG
rnacentral:rRNA from 1 species